rnacentral:misc_RNA from 1 species
CAUGUUUGAAUUAGCUGCUCCCCCCUUAACACGGGGCCAGUUAUUCUUCUACCCAUGCCUUUUUGCGUACUGCUUGUUUCCUCGGUAGCCUCGCCUACCGAUAGGACAACUCAAAAACCCUUUUUUUGCAAUUGCAAUCAGCGUCAAAAGAUAACUUAAUAGUUA